rnacentral:rRNA from 1 species
AACGAACGCUGGCGGCAGGCUUAACACAUGCAAGUCGAGCGCCCCGCAAGGGGAGCGGCAGACGGGUGAGUAACGCGUGGGAAUCUACCCAUCCCUACGGAAUAGCUCCGGGAAACUGGAAUUAAUACCGUAUACGCCCUACGGGGGAAAGAUUUAUCGGGGAUGGAUGAGCCCGCGUUGGAUUAGCUAGUUGGUGGGGUAAAGGCCUACCAAGGCGACGAUCCAUAGCUGGUCUGAGAGGAUGAUCAGCCACAUUGGGACUGAGACACGGCCCAAACUCCUACGGGAGGCAGCAGUGGGGAAUAUUGGACAAUGGGGGCAACCCUGAUCCAGCCAUGCCGCGUGAGUGAUGAAGGCCUUAGGGUUGUAAAGCUCUUUCACCGGGGAAGAUAAUGACGGUACCCGCAGAAGAAGCCCCGGCUAACUUCGUGCCAGCAGCCGCCGUAAUAC